rnacentral:rRNA from 1 species
CACACCAUGGGAGUGGGCUGCACCAGAAGUGUCAUAAACGAUGUGAGUAACGCAGCUAACGCACUAAGUUGACCGCCUGGGGAGUACGGCCGCAAGGUUAAAACUCAAAUGAAUUGACGGGGGCCCGCACAAGCGGUGGAGCAUGUGGUUUAAUUCGAUGCAACGCGAAGAACCUUACCAUCCCUUGACAUCCAGUGAAUUUUCCAGAGAUAGAUUAGUGCCUUCGGGAACACUGAGACAGGUGCUGCAUGGCUGUCGUCAGCUCGUGUUGUGAGAUGUUGGGUUAAGUCCCGCAACGAGCGCAACCCUUAUCCUCAGUUGCCAGCACGUAAUGGUGGGAACUCUGUGGAGACUGCCGGUGAUAAACCGGAGGAAGGUGGGGACGACGUCAAGUCAUCAUGGCCCUUACGGGAUGGGCUACACACGUGCUACAAUGGCGCAUACAAAGGGAAGCAAGCUAGCGAUAGCAAGCGGAUCUCAAAAAGUGCGUCGUAGUCCGGAUCGGAGUCUGCAACUCGACUCCGUGAAGUCGGAAUCGCUAGUAAUCGCGGAUCAGAAUGCCGCGGUGAAUACGUUCCCGGGCCUUGUACACACCGCCCGUCACACCAUGGGAGUGGGCUGCACCAGAAGUAGUUAGCUUAACC